rnacentral:rRNA from 1 species
GAUGAACGCUGGCGGCGUGCUUAACACAUGCAAGUCGAACGAAGCACUUUAUUUGAUUUCCUUCGGGACUGAUUAUUUUGUGACUGAGUGGCGGACGGGUGAGUAACGCGUGGGUAACCUGCCUUGUACAGGGGGAUAACAGUUGGAAACGGCUGCUAAUACCGCAUAAGCGCACAGCAUCGCAUGAUGCAGUGUGAAAACCUCCGGUGGUAUAAGAUGGACCCGCGUUGGAUUAGCUAGUUGGUGAGGUAACGGCCCACCAAGGCGACGAUCCAUAGCCGACCUGAGAGGGUGACCGGCCACAUUGGGACUGAGACACGGCCCAAACUCCUACGGGAGGCAGCAGUGGGGAAUAUUGCACAAUGGGCGAAAGCCUGAUGCAGCGACGCCGCGUGAGCGAAGAAGUAUCUCGGUAUGUAAAGCUCUAUCAGCAGGGAAGAUAAUGACGGUACCUGACUAAGAAGCACCGGCUAAAUACGUG